CAGGAUGAGCGCACGCGGUGAG
rnacentral:misc_RNA from 1 species